rnacentral:rRNA from 1 species
CUAUUCCUACGGGACGCAGCAGUAGGGAAUUUUCGUCAAUGGGCGCAAGCCUGAACGAGCAAUGCCGCGUGAACGAGGAAGGUCUUCGGAUCGUAAAGUUCUGUUGAAGGGGUAAAAGAGCGGAGAGAGGAAAUGAACUCCGAUUGAUAUUACCCUUCGAGGAAGUCACGGCUAACUACGUGCCAGCAGCCGCGGUAAUACGUAGGUGGCGAGCGUUAUCCGGAAUGAUUGGGCGUAAAGGGUGCGUAGGCGGCCUGCUAAGUCUGGAGUGAAAGGUACUGGCUCAACCGGCACAGGCUCUGGAA